UACGAAGGGGGCUAGCGUUGUUCGGAUUUACUGGGCGUAAAGCGCACGUAGGCGGAUUUUUAAGUCAGGGGUGAAAUCCCAAGGCUCAACCUUGGAACUGCCUUUGAUACUGGAAGUCUCGAGUCCGGGAGAGGUGAGUGGAACUGCGAGUGUAGAGGUGAAAUUCGUAGAUAUUCGCAAGAACACCAGUGGCGAAGGCGGCUCACUGGACCGGAACUGACGCUGAGGUGCGAAAGCGUGGGGAGCAAACAGG
rnacentral:rRNA from 1 species